rnacentral:lncRNA from 1 species
CCGCUGUACAGGGAAGCUCAGCUUGGCUGAAGCUGGAGCAGCGGGGGCCGCAAUGACCAACCAGCCACUCAGCAGCCAGCACAGCCUGCGUCCAGUGAGGUCUGGUGUUGGCAGGUGCAGAGUGUGCAGGCCUUCCUUUCCUAGGAGAAGGUGGGUCCCUCGGCCACGACGUGGCUGGGUCUCAGCGCGGAGCCAUCUUGGGCCUGGCCUGGGAGCUGCCGGGUCCACAGGCUGCAUCUUCAAGCCAGGCAGAUUCAGGCUCCCAGAGGGGUCCCAUCCGUUGUCCACCUGGCAAAAGGACCUUCUAGAAAGUUCUUUCUCAAAGGGGAACUGACAUUCCUGCCCUACUUUGUUCCAAGAUGGGAGCUGUGGUCUCAGAGGUAGGUGUGGAAAACCCAGAGUGGGGCUGCCUCUGUCUCUGCUCAAGGAUUUCUAGUUUGCUCAUGGAAGGGCUUGGUUUUGUCAGCAGCUGUGGCCUGGAUCGACCCUGUGGUCAGAGAUUGCCCAAAGCCCGCAGGCUGGUGACAGUCAGUGUGUGGCAGGAGCAGGAAAGUGAGCUAUUUCUCAGCUGCCCAUUUCUGGGGCGCCACCUUGGAGCUGGGGGGCGCUGGUACUUGGGGUGAGGCCCAAAGUUGAUUCUGAAGGGUUCUUAAAUGCCGAGCAGCAGGGUGGCAAUGUCCAGCCACACAGACAACCCAGUCUGGUCACGUUUGGCCUACACUCUGGGCCAGGCACACCCGGCCUCAGCCUGCACCUGGCUUGCUUGGACAGUUUCAAGUUCAGGAGCUGAUACUGGUGGUGGCAGCCAGCUUCAUUUUCUUUGAGGCAGUAUAUAAAGUUCAUUGUUUCCCUUAUUCCUGAUGAACAAAACUUUUAAGAUGUAAGAAUACAGUAUUUUGAGUAAUCCACUGUGAGCAUUACAGGCUUUUUUUCAGGAUGAGCAUCUGGAAAAAUAAAUAGGUUUUGUUCUGUUUUGUUUUUCCAGUAACUCAGAUAAAAUGUUAGCACAGUUGGCAGCUUCCUGAAUUAGGCAAAGUAAGUUUUGCAUUUAUGAAAAUGAAACUCAACCAUAAAACAUGGACACAGUCCACUGUUAAUUUUCAGACAUUUUCAUAAUUUGCAAGUACCUUAUUUGCAAAAUUGGUUUUUCGGGAGCUUUAGAGUCCUCAGGGCUGGGUGAGCCGUUCUGAGGAGGCUCCUGGCCCCUCCAUCAGGCGGGUGGACCUGGGCUGUGCCCUGCGCACGGCCAAGGAGGGACGCUGUGGCCCUUGGGCGAAAUGGCGGCUGUGCCUCGAAGACACGUAGCUGCAGCGGAAGCUAAGAGGCUUGAGCACCGAGCCAAGCCUGCCGCCACCACCACCCCCCGCCCCCUGCGGCCUCUGGCGUCUGGGUCUGGCUGAUCCGAGCAGGCAGGAAAGGUUGGGUUUCAGCGCUUUGUUCUCUGGGCGGCCUGGCCAUUGAUUAAGGCCCGUUGGGCAGGUUAACCAGCCACCCACUUUUUCGCACCGGGAUUGCAUUCCUGGCCAGGCCCCCAACCUCCUCCCAGACGGGGCUGAGCUAGGCGCCCUGGGGGGUGUUUGCUCUACUGGGCAGCCUGGGGCCUCUGGGCCGCUUCGAGCCUUUCCUCGAUUUUCCCAAGCGAGCCUGGUGGAAGGUGAUGAUUAACCAGCACCAUUGGGGAAGACAGGCCGUUGGGGACCAGAGGUGCCUCGCCCAGGAGAGGAGCCUGCUGCUCCAGAGAGGAGCCUGUUUUCAGUUUUCAUUUCCCCACUGUGGCUGAGGCUCACACUGUUGUCAUCCCUCCCCUGCCCCCGUGCCAGGAGAAGCCAGGGUCCCCUGCUGAGCUGUGCUCUGGGCAGAGAUGCAUCUCCCAUCCCUGCCUUGGAGUGUGGAGGACUGACACUCCUGCCCUCUGCGCCAGGCCUGUGCUCAUCUAUACUUCUCUCAGCCUACCGCCCAGGCGAGGCUCCUGACUGCCCAGUGGGCAGUGCAUCACCCUGGCCUGUCCCUUGGCUGUAGCCAGACCAGCUUUGGGCCCUAUAGGGUCCCCCAGCCCUCAGGGCUCCCCAAGACGUCCUGCUCCUGAGUGGCCAAGGGCAUUGGAGACACUAGGCCCCCCCGAGCGGUGGGAGGUGGCCUGUCGGCCAAGCAUGCUGGGGAAUGUGCUUGACCCAGCCUGGAGGGUUGGAUGCUGGGCUCUGCCCACGCCCCACUCAGCCCUGCAGCCUCCCCUGUGGCCUGGCCACCAGGCAGAGGAGCUGAAAUUUCACUCAGCUCUGAAAGGGAAGCCUUAGCUCAGAAAACAAGUGAAAUUGCAACCUCAAAGCACAGAUUUGACAGGGUCAGAGGGACAGGUGUGUAACUUGGAAGGAAGGGGGCACAUCCUGUGGUGUCUGCGGGUACAGGGCUACAGGGCAGGGACCCAGGGGUGGCAGGGACUCUGAGCCAGGACAGCCUGUGGAGGUCCAUGUGCCUGAAAUAUGUCCGGCCACACCUGCCGGGCUGAGCCAGGCAAGGGCAGGUGUGCAAAAUGCUGGCCGUGGGGAGUGGGGAAAGACCAGGCCGCCCUGGCCCUUCCUGUGGUCGGCUGGCAGCUGGUGGAAUCAGCGCAGCCUGCACCCCUUAGUAGACACUGCAGGAGGAAGAUGCUUGGACCCUACCCAGCCCCUCUCCAAGCCCAGGCUGCCAUGAGGUAGGAGAGAAAGGAGCAGAGCAGGGUCUGAGAGGUCAGAGUGCCAGGAGACUCUCCCCGGGCAGCUGCCCAGGCCUCUCGGCUCCAGGAGGGGCUGUAGGCUGGUCACUGAGCACAUGGGUGCUUCAGAGCAGCCCUUUCUGAAUAGCCUUGUCCCCAUGGGCCCCUGGGCGGAGGGCUCUGUGUUCUGUGUGGGGCUGCUGUUCACCUGCUCCGGAGCAGGACUCCAGGCCUGGUGCCACUGGGAGAGGGACAGUGAGAGGAGAGCCGUCCUGCCUCUCGAGCUGGGUUGCUUGUGCCUUGCCCAGUGCCCUUCCUGGGCGCUGGAGAAGGGCAGGUGGGGCUGGGCAGGAAGCAGGCUCCAGACAGCGUCCUGGGGCAGAGGCCAGUGGUAUAGCCUGGCCAGCCUCAGACACGGGAGGUGCCAACCUGUGCUCACAAUGGGGCUCUGGGGCCUGGACCACGCCUCUCUCUGGGACCACCCUGAGGGAGGCUCUACCCACCCCUGCUCUCCUUCCUAUUCCUUGGGCCACCAGCCUCUGGGCGGGAUCCCCUGCCUCCCGGAGUGCCCAUCUGGGCCCACACAGUGACACUGGGGCUAGAGGGCAGUUCACUAUGGCCCCAGCCCCCGUGAGGCCUCAGGCACCUGGGACCCUGCCAAGCCCUUGCCCUGUGGGGCUGCCCCCCCGCCCCACCCAGGGCUCAGAGAAGAGACAGCUCCUCUCAGGCACCCGUCAGCCCCCACCCAAGCCCCAGCUGGCGGCCCCCAGACCAAUCUGGGCAGCCGUGGCCAUCUUACUGGGCAGCAUUGGAUGGUGUCUGGUCUCUAAUACUGCCUGGUAAUGAUGACGGCGGAGCCCUGCACGCAGCAACGGGGCCGCCUCCCCUCCGCUCCCACCCCACCCCCACCUGGAGCCCCACAACGCGCCCAUCCCUCCAUCCUGCCCACUGGCUUCUGGGUGGAGCCGCGGGACAGAAACUCGACCCUGGGAAGGAGACUGGAGCACGCCGCGCCCCAGCUCCUCUGAGGAGCACCCCAGCCUCCAGGAUGAAAGGCCUCCUGCAGCUGCUCCACCCCUCCCCCCAGCCAGUGUUCUGGGGAUUAGGACGCUCAGGUAUCCUGGCCCUGCCCAUGGCACCCAGGCAGGUGCUGCCACCACACCUGGCAGGUGUGGGCUGCGGAUACUGCAGCAAAGGGCUCUAAGGGUAAAGGCUCAGCAGGGCCCAUGGGUGGGGGUGGGGCACCCAGGCUGGGCCUUGCUCCCCUCCUGCUCCACCGUGGGGAGGCAGCUGUACCUCCAGCCUUGGUCCCAAGCCAGCACACAAGGUCCCCUGCUAGGGAAAACCAGGGAAGGCAGACAAGCGGCUUCAGGUCUCUGCUGGCCCCAUCCAGUCCAAGCCAUUCACUGCUCUGGGUCACCGGGCUCUGAGCCUAUGGGUGGAAAGCUACACUUCUGUCCCCUGCACCCCGUGCUGGGUGCACCUGGGCAUCUGUGGGCAUCUUAUCGGACAGUGCUGGAUUUCUCGGCUUGACUCUAACACUGUCUGGUAACGAUGUUCAAAGGUGACCCACUGCCCUCGAGAUCCCCCGAGGAUGUGCCAUCCCAAGUUCCUGGAUCCAGACGUAGGCAGGGCAGGGGUCCUGCAAUUCUGGGGGCACUCACCGAGGGGGCACCCCUGCCCAUCAUGCCAAGGCUGGCUAGGCUGGUUCUGCCACAUGAGGGGCCCCAUCCUGGAGCAGCCUCUGCCUACCCUUACCCCCACUCCUCCCAGGCUGGGUUUUGGGCUCAGCUAGUCCUGUAGAGCCAUCAGGCCCAGGACUGUGGGCUGGAGGAGGAGACUUUGGGCCUGUGGCCUCUCAGCAUUCAGGGCUGUGUAAGUGCCCUGUUCUGGGGACUGGGGAGGCCAGUGUGGUUCAGGCACCCUAGCGCCACACACAGAACUGAGGACGUCCCCCACUGUUUCCUGACCAAGGACAAGGAAUCUGCAUUCCCUCUGCCAGCCAAGGCGACCAGGAAAUUUGUCCAAAAUUACAAUCCAGGAGGACCCAGUUUAUUUUUUUGAUCUGAGACCAGGACACAGGGCCAGGAGGCCCACCCAGCAUGGGGCAGGGCAGGGCAGUGUCUGCCCUUAAACCUUCUGUUACUCAUUAAGCUGCCUGGAGUCAUGCAGGAAACUGGAGGCUGAGGUGAGCAUUUGGCCUGGAUCCACUGGUCCAGACCACUCCCUGGUGGCAUCCACAACACCCAUUCCUGGACCGGGUCAGUGCUUAUUCCUCAGAGCAGCCCUGGGUUUGGGGCUGGCUCAGCCGUCAGGAGGGUGGGCCCCAGGAUGCCUUCCCUCCACAGGCACCAGGAUCAGAGGAGCUCACUCCUGCCCACGAUGGGCGUCUUACCAGACACGGUUAGAUCUGGAUGCUUCUGUCUAAUACUGUCUGGUAAUGCCGUCCAUCUACGGCCUGGUCACCGCUGGAGCAGAACCCCCAGCCCCAUGGGACCCUCACCGGACACCAGGCAAAGACUGAGGCCUGUGACCCAUCUGGCACAGCUGCCCAGGCCCCCAGGACCCUGCUGCCUCCCCUAACCCCAUGGUGGCUUUGUUGGCAUGACCAAGGGUUUUAGGUGUGGAGACCUGCAUCUGCUGCCCUCAGGAGCACAGCCACACCGAGGGUCACUGAGGACAGUCACCCGGCCCUGCACAAGUGGAGGCCCCCACCCUGAAUCUUGGCCUUCAGCGCCUCCACAUGCACAGGCCAGGGGCCUAACAAGGACCCAGAAGAAGCCCUGCCCAUGACCCUGACGCAAGCAUGGGGGAAAGGACACGUGGGCAGGGAGGGAAAGUCUGUGGCUCACCGUGGGGCAGCACCAGGACCCAGUGACCCCUGGGAGGUGCCAGAGGCAGGCCCUGGGGAUGGGGAAAUGGGCCACCCCCCAGGCCUCAGCUUGGGGGUCCCACACAUUCACAUCCAGGGCUGAGGUGGUUGGGGCCAAUGCCAGGGGCCAGGGCCGAUGACAAUGACCAUGGCUGGGUAAACAGGUGCACAGUUGUACAACCCCUGUCCACAAAGCUGACAACUGGGGCAGCUUUGAACUGGCUCGUGAGUGAUGCUAGUUUGCUGUGACCUCCCCUGGGAAUGUGGUAUGCAGAUCGCUUGUGAGACCUCAGCCCUGGACCCAAACACACAAACCCUGGUAUGGCCAGUGCUCAGGCUGGCUGGUGGCACCCCGCACACCCCACCCCAUCCCGGCCUGGACGCUAAUCCUGCUCCUGUCCUCAUGGGCCUCCUUUGUCCCGGUGGUGAUGAAGUUGGUCUCUCUUGGGGGCCACUCUGCUCAUAAACAAGGAACCCUGGCACGUAGCUGGCUUCACCCUCCCAGAGCAGCUUCCACCUGACUGCUCUGGACUGUGAGCCAGGCCCCUCUGGUGGAGGCGCCUGAAGGUGUGGGCUUCUCCUAGUCCUGGCCUGGCUCAUUGUGAACAAAAAAGUCUGUAUGGCAAUAAACUCUGAUUCCUGAAAGCAAGCAGACUCUGACCACCUCCUUGUCACUAGUACAGCGACCCACAGCUUUGCACAGGGCUGGGAGAUGCCCCCCUCGGUCUUUCCUGGCUCAGUUCAGUUCUGGUCCCAGGGAAGCCCCGGAGCAGGAAGGACAGGACACAGUUCUGAUGGGGACAGCAGAGCAGAUUUCUGAGUCAGAGCUCUGAACCCAGGACCUAGGAAAGGUGGGCAUCUGCCCAAGCCAUGGCCUGGCAAGAAGCUCCUGGGGGCAGUGCUGGGGGACCCUGAAGGCUGUGCUCCCAGCAGGGGAGAGGCUGCCGUGGGUGGUGUGCGCCGCAGCUUCAACGCUCUCCGUGGCCACCACACAAGUGGCACAAGUGCUCUGGAAGGCAAGCUGCCGUCCCUGGCCAGGCCUGGCCCUGAUAUAGGUUGAGAAGGUCAGCACCAAAGUGGGGCCUGGCACUCCCGCCCUCCCUCCCUCCGGCCAGCAUGAGGACGCCCUCUGCUCUGGCCGCCAGACGGACUGUGGCUGCCUGGGCAGAGGGUCAGAUGGCUGGGUGCAGCAAGAUAGCCCAAAGGCCCUCGGAUGGGUGGGGCCGGCAACAGGAACCGACCCCACCCAGGGAACCAGUGAGGGUGGGGGUUUUCCACAGGAGGGUGGCUCUCCAGCCCAGCCAAGCCUUGCGAAAUGCCCCCUUCUGACAGCUCAGGGAAGAGCCACACGGGGUGUGGCCCAGGGCAGCCAGCUUCUGGGUGGGCAAGGAAGCCCCAGAGCAGCCAGUGCUGUGCAGGACCCUGGAAGGAGAGCAGAGGUAGGAGCGUAUGGGCUUCCUGCCAUAAACAAUACCACAAACUGGGGGCCUCCAGGGGGUCUGCAGUCCAAGACUGAGGCCCCAGCAGGCUGGGGUUCCCACUGAGCUUGGGUGUUCCUCCUGUGGCCCAGGCUGCCUUUGCCUUGUGGCCGAACUGCGUCCUCAUCAUGGCUUCUCUCUGCUCUCUCCUUCCUCUGCCUGCCCCUGAGGAUGCUGGCACUGAACUGAGAACAAUCUCAUCUGAAAUCCCAACUUAGACACAUCUGCACAGACUUUUUCUCUACUAAGGCCACCUGUGUAGGUUCCAGGGCUCAGGAUGUGUUGCUGUCUUCAGGGGCCCCUCCUGUGUCCUGCAAGGGGCUGCUAACAAGGCUCUGAAGGUCAGCAGGGUAUGAGGCCCGCGUGGCUGGAAGCUGGGGUCAGAGCCCCUCAAACAUGCCUGCCACCUUCUGCCCCUCGCCCCUGCCCAGCUUCCUCCAUUGCGCCUCAGCCCAGACCUUGGCCCUUUUACCACCCACCUAAAGCUCCUGUUUACCUGGGGCUCCACUGGGCUGCAGUUGCCAGUUAACAGUUGCUGAGGGACAGUUGCCAGGCCACCACUGUUGUAUCCCAGCAGAGGGCUCCUGAGACCUCUUGGGAAGGUAAGAGGAAGUUGCAGGCCACCAGCAGGGUCCUGGCCAGGGCUGAGGCUAGGCCCUGCCCUCCUGUGGCCCCCUGGGGACCCAGGAGUCAAGGAAGGGAGCAGGGACUGGAGAGAGACCAGGUGGCUUGGCUGGGCUAAGUCUUCUCCCCCCAGGCUGCCCUCAGCCCAGACACCCUAGGUGAGCUUGGGCAGGGCUGGGCAUCCUUAGGACGAGUCCUCCACCCACAGCCCGUUUGUCUCCCCAAAGGGCCCCUGUGGGAGCUCCUGCAACAAGGUGCUGACAUGUGUUUCUCUUCUUGAACAUUUUCUUCGGGUUUAACAGCAUCUGUCUGUCGAGCCAGAGUGAUUUCCCACCAGUCUUUAAUCUGAGCAGAAACAGCAAUUGACCAACCUCCGAUGUGAAACUCACUUCUGGAUUUAGAGUCGCGUCCUUCAGAGAGACCCUGGACUUGCAGCUGCCAGAGGAUGCCACCUGGGCGCUGGCAGCAUUCCAGCUCUCCCGACACUGUGCACCGGACCCCGUGUUCCGCACACAGCUGCCAGGGCUCUUUAAAAAGUCUUUGUCCAUCUGAAUGACAAGAAAUGAUAAUAACUCAUGGCUUAUUUAAUUCUUUGUGAAAAUAACAAGCAUCAGAGUUAGAAAAGUCAGCCUUAUAAUGAAGAACAGUGAACCCACACAACCCUUCAGGACAUUUCUUAGCUGUGGCAACAGAGGUGGUGCCGAGAGAGUAGGACAG